GUGUUUAUGUGUGUCCAGUUGUGUUUAUGUGUGUCUAGGUGUGUCCAGGUGUGUCCAGGUGUGUCCAGAUGUGCCACCUCUCUCUGGAAGUCCUUCAGGCUGGGUGGGUUCUUGUCAGCCUCGA